CGGCUAUGAGGAUAACAUUUUACAGUAUGAAUUACUUUGAUUUCACAUACGCUAUUCUGAGCCAUUG
ensembl:snoRNA